rnacentral:rRNA from 1 species
UACAGAGGUCUCAAGCGUUGUUCGGAUUCAUUGGGCGUAAAGGGUGCGUAGGUGGCGCUGUAAGUCAGGUGUGAAAUUUCGGAGCUUAACUCCGAAACUGUAUUUGAUACUGCGGUGCUCGAGGACUGGAGAGGAGACUGGAAUUUACGGUGUAGCAGUGAAAUGCGUAGAGAUCGUAAGGAAGACCAGUGGCGAAGGUGGGUCUCUGGACAGUUCCUGACACUGAGGCACGAAGGCCAGGGGAGCAAACGGG